CAAUAGCGUAUAUUAAAGUUGUUGCAGUUAAAAAGCUCGUAGUUGGAUUUCUGGGAGGGUGCCAAUGUCCGCUGAGGCGUGUGCAGCGGCGCCCUUCCAUCCUUCUGUUAACGUUUCAUGGUAUUCAGUUACUGGUUUCGGGCUCAGAUAUUUUACCUUGAGAAAAUUAGAGUGUUUCAGGCAGGCUUGCGCCGGAAUACAUUAGCAUGGAAUAAUAGAAUAGGACUUUAGUCUCUUUUGUUGGUUUGAGGGGCUGAAGUAAUGAUUAAUAGGGAUAGUUGGGGGCAUUAGUAUUUAAUUGUCAGAGGUGAAAUUCUCGGAUUUGUUAAAGACCAACUUAUGCGAAAGCAUUUGCCAAGGAUGUUUUCAUUAA
rnacentral:rRNA from 1 species